rnacentral:rRNA from 1 species
GGAGGAAUAUUGGUCAAUGGGCGGAAGCCUGAACCAGCCAUGCCGCGUGAAGGAAGAAGGUCCUAUGGAUUUUAAACUUCUUUUGUCGGAGAGCAAUAAGGGUCUCGCGAGAUCCGAUGAGAGUAUCCGACGAAUAAGCAUCGGCUAAUUCCGUGCCAGCAGCCGCGGUAAUACGGAAGGUCCGGGCGUUAUCCGGAUUUAUUGGGUUUAAAGGGAGCGUAGGCCGGAGAUUAAGCGUGUUGUGAAAUGCCGCGGCUCAACCGUGGCACUGCAGCGCGAACUGGUUUUCUUGAGUGCGCGCGAUGCAGGCGGAAUUCGUGGUGUAGCGGUGAAAUGCUUAGAUAUCACGAGGAACCCCGAUUGCGAAGGCAGCUUGCGGGAGCGCAACUGACGCUGAAGCUCGAAGGUGCGGGUAUCGAACAGGAUUAGAUACCCUGGUAGU